GAUCCUGGCUCAGGACGAACGCUGGCGGCGUGCCUAAUACAUGCAAGUCGAACGCUUUUUCUUUCACCGGAGCUUGCUCCACCGAAAGAAAAAGAGUGGCGAACGGGUGAGUAACACGUGGGUAACCUGCCCAUCAGAAGGGGAUAACACUUGGAAACAGGUGCUAAUACCGUAUAACACUAUUUUCCGCAUGGAAGAAAGUUGAAAGGCGCUUUUGCGUCACUGAUGGAUGGACCCGCGGUGCAUUAGCUAGUUGGUGAGGUAACGGCUCACCAAGGCAACGAUGCAUAGCCGACCUGAGAGGGUGAUCGGCCACACUGGGACUGAGACACGGCCCAGACUCCUACGGGAGGCAGCAGUAGGGAAUCUUCGGCAAUGGACGAAAGUCUGACCGAGCAACGCCGCGUGAGUGAAGAAGGUUUUCGGAUCGUAAAACUCUGUUGUUAGAGAAGAACAAGCACAAGAGUAAAAUGUUCAUC
rnacentral:rRNA from 1 species